UCCACGAGAAAUGCAUGGUUUGGGCCCCAAAAGUGGAAUCCAAUGGUGAUACUUUUAAGAAUGUGGAGAGUGAAAUCAAUCGUUCUAAAAGAUUGAGAUGCAGAAGAUGCAAACUCCCGGGAGCAGCGCUUGGUUGUUAUGACUACUCCUGCAGAAAAAGUUAUCAUGUCCCAUGUGCAAUGAUGAUACCAGAAUGCCGCUGGGAUGAAGAAAUGUAUUUUUGAUCUCAGCUUCUAAUGAUGAAAAGAAGUAGUCAAGAAUAAAAUUUGAUGUCCUUUGGCACCUUACAAGAUGA